GGUAUCGGUGCCAAAUACCCGUAGUUUUCGGACAGUUCGUAAAUUUUAACGCACUGCCUAGAAUAUACGGGUUCCUGGCUAAGAGAACCA
rfam:Pristionchus pacificus strain PS312 contig9738, whole genome shotgun sequence.